UCCAGCCCCGGGAGUCAAAACGCCAUCUGUUGAUGGGGCCCCGCCAAAGCUGACAUAGACAGGUCCAGCCUCCAGGUGCCCCCACACCGUUUUCUUGCAUUAUGAAGCUGAGCGGCUUCUUUCUACUCUCUGUGAACAUCCUCCUUUGCCUCUGAAUGACCCAGCCUGGAGUCUUGAGGAGUGCAGCUGCACGGAAACCGGGAUAUUGCCCAGAGUUUGAUCUUGACUGCCCUUUCACUCUCUUACCUAUGCGCUGGCGUGAUAAGAGUUGCAGGGGGUCAAGAAGUGUUGCUACUACAACUGUCGGCAUCAGUGUAUGGAGCCCUGGUGGACUUUGGAUUGAGGCAAAACGCAGGCUGACAGUGAUGAAGCUGAUGUUCGUAACACUGCAGAAAAAGUGCUGAUAGAUGACAUGGUGAAAAAGUGUGAUGGGCUUAUUGAAGGACUGAAGCAGCCUGUAUUCAUACCAAAACAAGAAAUCAUGUCCAAAGAACCAGAAGAGUAGACAGUCCUUAGAGACAGCAGCUGUGCCGGCUGCAGAAAUGGAGAGAGCUGUGAGCUAGAAUAGAAGAAGAGAAAGGCCAAAAACCACGGAGAAACAGAGCCAGACAACACAGAGGUGAAAUUCAGAAAGCGAGUCCAGCACUUGGCUGAAGUUACAGGCCCUUCCUGCCCUGCCCUUUCCCACCCAAGGCCAUGCCUAGUUCAUGUUACUAAGUCUAAGAAACAGCUCCAGAAGUGGCAUCUCUGCUAACCACUA
rnacentral:lncRNA from 1 species